GUAUUAUAUAUAUGUGUGUAUAUGCAUACAUACAUAUAUAUAUACACACACACACACACACACACACACACACACACACACACACACACA
rnacentral:miRNA from 1 species